rnacentral:lncRNA from 10 species
CGCGGUUCAUGAAUAUUUUAUGGUGUGAUGUUAUUUUGAAUGGCCGGGGCAGGUGAAGGAGGCGAGGGUGUAAUAAGUAACUCUGCUGGAGGCUGUGUAGCUGCUGUUUCCCCGCCGAGCCCACAGUGGAACACCAAGAAGCAUCCUGACCCCGCCUGGAUCGAGGCGAGGGCAGCUGAGGCAAGAGGCUAUGACAAGUCACGGUUGAGUCUGAAUUUGGCCCCAGGCCCUCUAGCUCUUUCAGGAAAGGCUGUUACUGAACAAAUGAAGAUUUAACCAGCUCAAGCAUCAAACCGCACAUUCCAGUUUGCUAAAAAGAGAUGAGUCUCACCAUGUUGCCCAGGCUGGACUUGAACUCACCGGCUCAAGCAUCCUUCCACCUCAGCCUCCCAAAAAGCUGGGACUGCAGGUGGGAGCCACAGCACCUGGCCUCCCACCAUCUUGAAAACAAAAUGCUGAUGAGAAAACCGAAGCUCAAAGAAGAAAAAUUACUAGCCCCAAAUGGCACAGAGAGCGAGUAGAAGAGCCAAGAUUUAAACCUAGGAUAUCAAUUCCUAAGAUUAUACAUAUUUUUAAACUUUUUAAUUUUAUGAUUAUAUUGCUUUUAGUUACAAAAGUAAUUCAAGUCUAAUAGUGCAGAAGUGUAUAAUGAAAAAGUUAAUAAUCUGCCUCUCUCCUUUCCCAAAGCACUCUCCUUGGGGUAAACAAUGUGUCCAAUUUGAUGAAAAUGAUUUUAGACUCUUCUCUCAGUAUCACCCAAAUCCUUGACCAUUAUGUUUGUGCUGCCUCCCUAGUUUAGUCUUCUUUCUAGUAUAGCAAACUAUCUCCAAAUGAAAAAGACAAAGGAAAGGGGAAAAUUUUAGAAACGGCUUAGUAACUAAACAUCAAAUGCUCAUAUUAGAUUGAUAAUUAAUAAAGACCCAUCACAUACCGAACUCACCUGAAGAGGAGGCGGUGAUAAACAUUUGCUGUUGAGAUUUACCCUGAUGAGUAUGUAUAUUUAAUUAAAAUGAGAAGCUCUAAAUAUGUGUGUGACUGUGCUGUGAGAAAAUCAUUAUUUUGCCUGAAUAAAGAACAAUUGUUCCUUGUAUGACAGCCAGAUUUGAAUGCUAUAUUUCACCCUGGAAAAUAAAUGAUCCUGGGUAAUUGUAGAAAACUCUGAAAAUAAGUAUUUUCUAGUGAAAAUUCUAAAGGGCUUUAUCUAAUGUGGUAACAAAGUGUAUAACUCUGUUCUAUCCUAUCAAGAAGAAAGGUACUCUUUCCUUUUCAGAGGAAACCAAUUUCCAAUUGUCAUGUGACAGCUACAUUCAAAUACCUUUUUCUAUUCUGAGGAGGUGACAGACUGAACAUGAUGAAAUUUGAUCAUUUUUUAAAAUCUGAAGUUUAGGGAAUAGUGCACAGUAUAACCUCACAAACAAAAACACAUUUUUAGGCUGAGUGUGGCGGCUCAUACCUGUAAUCCCAAAACUUUGGAAGGCCAAGGCAGGAGGAUCACUUGAGCUUAGGAGUUUGAGACUAGCCUGGGCAACAUAGCAAGACCCUGUCUCUACAAAAACCAAACCAAACCAAAAUAAAAAAACACAUUUUGAUUGUUAGAGUUUUUCUUACCUGAUUUAUCACCCCAUGUUACUUUUAAAAUAAAAAAGUUACAAAAUUAUUCUUACAUAGUACAAUUCUUCCAAAAUGUGCUAUUUUCAAUUUUUUAACCGAAAAGUUUGUCUGUAAAACUUUCUCUAGAAUAACGCCUCCCUUCAUGGUUUCAAACAGUUUAAUAGCAGAUCAAAAUACAGGCUCAACAUCAGCAUAUUGAGAUGUAUCCAAAAUAGGAACACUUUUUUUGUGUCUAAAAAUAAACUGCUACUGUUUCAAUAUGUGGAACAAAUAAAAUGGAUUUGGAAGGGGAGCUCACAG